rnacentral:rRNA from 1 species
AAGCAAUUUGAGCGUAAGCGCCAAAUUGUGGUGGUGAAGAUGAUACGAACCGAAAGUUCGCAACGAACCACAACAUCACAUAUCCGGAUUCGCUGGGCUGUCCAUCUGGACAUUCUGGCUACAGAAUUUCUUGACGACCAUAGAGCAUUGGAACCACCUGAUCCCAUCCCGAACUCAGCAGUGAAACGAUGCAUCGCCGAUGGUAGUGUGGGGUUUCCCCAUGUGAGAGUAGGUCAUCGUCAAGA